CAUGUAGGCGGGUCUUUAAGUCAGGGGUGAAAUGCCAAGGCUCAACCUUGGAACUGCCUUUGAUACUGGAGAUCUUGAGUCCGGGAGAGGUGAGUGGAACUGCGAGUGUAGAGGUGAAAUUCGUAGAUAUUCGCAAGAACACCAGUGGCGAAGGCGGCUCACUGGCCCGGAACUGACGCUGAGAUGCGAAAGCGUGGGGAGCAAACAGGAUUAGAUACCCUGGUAGUCCACGCUGUAAACGAUGGAUGCUAGCCGUUGGGGAGCUUGCUCUUCAGUGGCGCAGCUAACGCUUUAAGCAUCCCGCCUGGGGAGUACGGUCGCAAGAUUAAA
rnacentral:rRNA from 1 species